rnacentral:misc_RNA from 1 species
GAUGAAGAACGCAGCGAAAUGCGAUAAGUAGUGUGAAUUGUAGAAUUCAGUGAAUCAUCGAAUCUUUGAACGCACAUUGCGCCCCUCGGUAUUCCGUGGGGCAUGCCUGUUCGAGCGUCAUUUACCCCUCAAGCACUGCUUGGUGUUGGGCGUCUGUCCCGCUUCGCGCGCGGACUCGCCCCAAAGGUAUUGGCAGCGGUCGUGCCAGCUUCUCGCGCAGCACAUUGCGCUUCUCGAGGCGGUCGAUCGGCGUCCACGAAGCUCACCUCCACCGUUUGACCUCGGAUCAGGUAGGGAUACCCGCUGAACUUAAGCAUAUCAAUAAGCGGAGGA